rnacentral:rRNA from 1 species
AUUGAACGCUGGCGGCAGGCCUAAUACAUGCAAGUCGAGCGGACGAAGGGAGCUUUCUCUUGUCUUCCGCUGCGGACGGGCGGGUAAUGCCCAGGAAGCUGCCUGGCAUUUGGGAAUAACGUCCGGAAACGGGCGCUAAUAUCGCACACGUCCAUAUGGAGAACGUGGGGGAUCUUCAGUCCUCACGCUAUUUGAUGAGCCUGGGUCGUAUUAGCUAGUUGGUUAGGUAAAGGCCUACCAAGGCGACGAUCCGUAACUGGUCUGAGAGGAUGAUCAGUCACACUGGAACUGAGACACGGUCCAGACUCCUACGGGAGGCAGCAGUAGGGAAUAUUGGGCAAUGGGCGAAAGCCUGAUCGAGCAAUGCCGCGUGUGUGAAGAAGGUCUUCGGAUUGUAAAGCACUGUAAGUUGGGAGGAAGAACAGUGAAUUAAUACCUGGCUGUUUUGACGUUACCAAAAGAGUAAGCACCGGCUAACUUCGUG